rnacentral:sRNA from 1 species
GCAUUUAGCAGUAAGUAGCUGACUGUCCAUAGUAAGAUAGCCGAAGAGAUUCUAAACGUAUUUAUGAAUACGUGGCUCUUACUAGAUAACCGUAUCUUAAUAGGUACGGUUAUUUUUUUAU